AGGUCACUGCUAUUGGGAUUCGACUAAGCCAUGCGAGUCGAGAGGGUUCGGCCCUCGGCAAACUGCUCAGUAACACGUGGAUAAUCUGCCCUUAGGUGGAGGAUAACCUUGGGAAACUGAGAAUAAUACUCCAUAGAUCUACGAUGUUGGAAUACACAUAGAUUGAAAGUUCCGACGCCUAAGGAUGAGUCUGCGGACUAUCAGGUUGUAGUCAGGGUAAGGACCUGACUAGCCUACAACGGAUACGGGUUGUGAGAGCAAUAACCCGGAGACGAUAUCUGAGACACGAUAUCGGGCCCUACGGGGCGCAGCAGGCGCGAAACCUUCACAAUGUGCGAAAGCGCGAUGAGGGGAUCCCAAGUGCUUGCACUUAAGUGUAAGCUGUUUCUUUGUUUAAAAUGCAGAGAGAGUAAGGGCUGGGUAAGACGGGUGCCAGCCGCCGCGGUAAUACCUGCAGCUCAAGUGGUGACCGCUAUUAUUGGGCCUAAAACGUUCGUAGCCGGCUGAGUAAAUGCUUGGGUAAAUCGUGCCGCUUAACGGUACGAAUUCCGGGUAGACUACUCAGCUUGAGACCGGGAGAAGCUAGAGGUACUCCUGGGGUAGAGGUGAAAUUCUGUAAUCCUGGGGGGACCACCAGUGGCGAAGGCGUCUAGCUAGAACGGGUCUGACGGUGAGGGACGAAACCCUGGGGCGCGAACCGGAUUAGAUACCCGGGUAGUCCAGGGCGCAAACGCUGCUUGCUUGAUGUUAGCUGGGCUCCGAGCUCAGCUAGUGUCGGAGAGAAGUUGUUAAGCAAGCUGCCUGGGAAGUACGAUCGCAAGAUUGAAACUUAAAGGAAUUGGCGGGGGAGCACAGCAACGGGUGGAGCGUGCGGUUUAAUUGGAUUCAACGCCGGGA
rnacentral:rRNA from 1 species